AAAACAGGGGAGCUCAUAGAUUGGGCUGAGAGGAAGGAAACACCUUCGACCCUUAUACCUGAUUUGGAUAAUGCCAACGUAGGAACCAU
rnacentral:ncRNA from 1 species